rnacentral:lncRNA from 1 species
GCACAUUUUAUAGGCUAAUGUUGCUAGAAGAAAUCGAAUUUCUUUCCGUUCAAAUGAUGGAAUGAUGAUUGAUGGCGUUAAAGAUUACUCUCACCUGGUUGCUGAAAUGAUAUGAUUGUCGUAAGUUUUAACUUACUAUGAAUGCUUUUAGUUUUCGUCAACUGCAACUCUAUUAUGUAUUUUGAGCCGAAUAUUUUUAAAUAACAGCAUCAACAUAAUUAAAUUUAUUUUACUCUUGAAACGACAAAUAUGUUUCCUCUUCCUUUUUGAUGAAAGUUAAAUCACAAUAGAUUUGUCUUUUAUAUGAAGAUUUUCUUCUUCUGAAUUGCUGUUGCGCACUGUACUUGAUAUUGGUUGCGGGUCUGGUAGUUUUAGUGCUCGUCUUCUAUCGCUUAAGCUGAUGUGUGACAGCAUAUGAGCCAACAGGUAGACAUGUUCAAUUGGCACUUGAUAGAGGUCUCCCUUCAAUCAAAACUUAAUCUAAAGACAGGUCCCUCUUCAUCCUUUGUCAUAUGAAGUGGUUCACUGCACUCAAUGUAGCAUUGUCUGGGAUAACAAAGGUAUGAUCCUCAUUAAGGUUUGGGGUUUUGUUUUUUUCCAUUAAAUCACCAUUUCUUCAUCAGAUUAAGUGCAGUGGUUUUUAUUGAUUUUUCACCGAUGAAAAUACUUGAAAUUAAUUUGACAUUUAGCCUAAUGUAUUGCGAACUUUUCUGAUCCAAACAAGAAGGAAAAGAAAGCGAAUGAUCCAAACAAGCCAAAGAGACCUCCAAGUGCUUUCUUUGUUUUCAUGUAUGCCCAUUUGCAUUUUUGGUCUCUAUCAUUUCUGUCUAUUGUUCUUAUAUAUUACCUUUUUUAUGCCGCUUGGCAGACUACAACAAUAAUUUGGUAAUCCAUCUAUGAGAAGCACGGUGUUAUACACAGUUUAGUUUGAAUUGUGAUACUGAAACGACUUGUGCCGAACUGUUUUUAUAGGCUAGAGGGGCUGUUGAAUUCGACAAGGCAAAGUCUGAGGUUAAUGGUGAUGAGGACGAUGAGAACAGUGGAGACGUUAGUUGAAAUUAAGCUAUACAACUUUUUUGUACUUGAAACUUUGCUACUAUGUUGACUUUUUAUUUUGUUUUAAUUAAUUUAGGGGGAAGACGAUGAGUAAGCACUAUUACAGAAAACUGGAUUUUGGAUUCAAGGUGAGAACCAACAAUCAAUCUUCCUUCAUUAUUUGCAUUUAUGGCUUCAGGUUUUGUAAAAUGUUCGAUUUGAAAGUGAGUUAAUUGGAUUGGUAGAUUUCAUGAAGAAUUAUUGUGUAAAAUUUGGCUUCAGGUGAAUUUUACUGAAAUUAAUUGAAAGUAAUUAUCAAUAAUACUCCUUUUUUAAUUUUUAUUUUUUAAAGUUGCUAAUGUGUUUGUUCUUCCUUUCAGUGAGGGAACAAGCAUCUCUUUGCCAUUAACUUGGGGCAAAAAAAGAGAGGAAACGUAUGCCUUGUUUUUCAUUAUUGCCUAUUGGUACACAAGACGUAUUUAGAGGAAAGGGGUGGAGGAAGAGGGGGUUGAGUGCUUGUAGACCAUGAGCAAAAAUGGCAGACUACAAUAAGAAUUUGGUAAUUUCAUCUAUGAAAUUCUCUAUUACAAUGCACUACGUGCAUCUCACAUGCGAAGAACUAGUUCGAUAAAUAUUCAAUAUUUUGCAGCAAGCUUCAUAUCUUGUUAAAUUUUGAAGGUCCUUCCUUUUGUGAAAUCAUUUAAGUUAAAAAUGUUAAGAGAGAAAAACAUUAAUUUAUUAAUAUCUUCAAAACUCUUCUUAUGGUGCAGGUAGAUUUAAUUUUUCUAUAAACAUUAAAUUUCUGACUUUGAUGGGGAUGAUGUUAUUAUUUUACAGAUUUUCAUCUGGUCGUCCAUUACCAAUACAAUUUCGAGACUCGAUUUGAUUAGAGACUAAUAGCUCAGUCAUCUACCAGGUCAAGAAAGUUAUUAAUUGGGUUAGUUGCUGUAAGCUUGUGGGCUGACCACCUAUAUGCCUGCUUUGCAUAUAUUUCGUUGCCAGCUCCAAUCCACAUCAUUUGAUGACGUGUUGUUUACAACAAAUUUGACUUGUACACAAUAUCUGUUAUUACGAGAGUUAGAGAGAGAGGCCAAUUCAAACCAUCAUUUGGUGACACAUUUUUUAAGAGCAAUCGUGGAACCUAUAUUUGUUAAGUGAAGUCAAUGUUAUGCUGAAGCAAACAAAAGAUUAUGACGAUUGAGGAUAGUCAAGUUCACAUUUCACUUCUUAUCUUUCCAUUCUCUCUCUUUUAGAGUAAAGAUCAUUUGUAGUAUUUCGUGGCUACCAAAUAUUCAAAUACUCCAGGGAACAUUGUAGAUGUAAAAUUCUGCAUUAUAUAAUAGGAGGAAUUUCUUUUUUUUUUUUUUUUUUCCUAAAUGGAUUAUCAGGUAAGUUGUCAUUAUUUGCAAUAGUAAUAGGCUUUUUAUUAUGAUGUGCAGUUGCACAUGUCCAUGUGUGUCCACGUAUACUUGUGUGUGUAAAUGUGGAAUAAUGAUAUUUACAAUCUAUUCUUACCUAUUAGCAAUUAGCAUUCUAUGUAGAUGUAUUGUUACUGCCACAUUUUCCUAUAAUUUUAGAGUAGGGAUAUUUGUAAGCAUCGUACUGAAAACAACAAUCUAUAUGACAAUGAGAUAUCUGUCUCAUUCUCCUAUGAAAUUGAGUUCGUUUUAAUUUAUUGAAGAAUGUGAUAGUGACCCCAUUAUUACAUCAAAUGUUGGU